GGGGGAGUCUGUGAGAAAUGGAGAUCCUCACCUCAUAUUAGCAUUGGAGACAGUUUAUUUUGCAACUCUGCACACUCAGGCAUCAGCCCAGAAGAGCGGGUGUGGCAAUGUAGCACAGAGAACAGUUUCUGAAGCAAACACAUGACUCUUGUCCCUUCUCUCAUCACUGAGGAAUCACAAGAGACAACCUUAAAUGCAACCAAGAUCCCAUUCUUCCCUGUGGAAUUUACAUUUUUUUUGUUUGUUUGUUUCACAGUAGAAACAUUGACUAUGUUAUUUCUUGUUUUACAUCCUGUUUAUUUUAAGGUUUAUCAGCUAAUGACUUUGCAGACUCUGGUUUCCCAAGCUGGCCUUGAGCUAACAAAAGAACACACA
rnacentral:lncRNA from 1 species